AAUGAACGUUGGCGGCGUGGAUUAGGCAUGCAAGUCGAGCGAGAACCGUAGCAAUACGGGGACAGCGGCGAAAGGGAGAGUAAUACGUGGGUACCUACCCCCGGAACCGGGAUAGCUACGGGAAACUGUAGGUAAUACCGGAUAACGUCUCCGGACCAAAGGUGUGAUUCCGUCCGGGGAGGGGCCCGCGUCCUAUUAGCUAGUUGGGGAGGUAACGGCUCACCAAGGCUGUGAUGGGUACGGGGUGUGAGAGCAUGCCCCCGCUCACUGGGACUGAGACACUGCCCAGACACCUACGGGUGGCUGCAGUCGAGAAUCUUCGGCAAUGGGCGCAAGCCUGACCGAGCGACGCCGCGUGCGAGAUGAAGGCCUUCGGGUUGUAAAUCGCUGUCGGAGGGGAGGAAAUGCCGGUGGGUUCUCCCAUCGGUUUGACCUAUCCUCAGAGGAAGGACGGGCUAAGUUCGUGCCAGCCGCCGCCGUAACAC
rnacentral:rRNA from 1 species